UCUCCUUAGGCUUUAUAGCAGGUUGGCUGGUGGCCUCUCAAAAGGCAUGUCCCCCCAGAACCUGUGAGUGUGACCUCAUUUUGGAAACUGGGUCUUUUACAAAUAUAAUUAUGCUAAGGAUCCUAACUUGUGAUCAUCCUGGGUGAUUUGGGUAUGCCCUAAAUCCAAUGAUUAGUGUCCUUAUAAAAGAGAGGCUGAGGAGAUUAGACACACAGGAGGAGAAGGUCACGUGAAGACAGAGACAGAGCCUGGAGGGCACAGCCACAAGCCACGGAAUGCCUGGAGCCUCUAGGAACCAGAAGAGGCAGGGAAGGAGUCUCCCCAGGAGCCCUUGGAGGGGGCCCCGCAGGGCCCCCACCCUGCUGACACCUUACUUUUGGACAUCUGGACUCCAGAACUACUUAUGUUGGGGGACAGGGGUUCCUCAAUGCAACCAGCUUGCCCCUCGCUGCAACUAUCUGUGCGGUAACAAUUUAACAACUCCAAAGACUUCAGAUGAAGAACAAGUUGUUGUCUUCACAAGAUAGAGAGCGCUGCCUGCCUGAAGUGACAUUUGGAGAGGGCCGCAGCAACCCCCUUCCAAGCUCAGAAGUUUCUCCACACUUUGACAGAAGAGGGACCACUGUGAACCUCAGCCCUGCACAGGACCCACAGGUCCAGAAUGCUUUGGAUUUUGGUGAAAUCUGGGUCUGCAUUCCCACUUGACCCCUUCCUGUAGGAUGAACUGGCGUUGAGAUGCUCUCUGAGUCUCACCUUCCUUAUGAGAUUAGUAACUACCACCUUGAAGGGUUGC